UAGGCAACAUUUGUUUCCAGACAACAAAGAGUGUGUCCGUUGUUACUGCAACAGAAAAAGGUGUGAGCUUUUGAACAUUAUUCCACUGGUCAGGCGUGCCAGCUCAACCUGUGUCUGCAGAUGAGAAAGAAUUCCACUAAAUCACUUAUUUUCUAUUUCCAGAAUCGUAGGUGUUGCAACAUAAGGCACUGGGGGUAGUGGACAGAUGAAAACAGUUCUUACAGACCCUGUAAGAGGCAUCUGUUCUGCGGGAGCUCAGUGUCCAGCUACAAGUCCAAGGUUACAAUCAAUUUUAAAAAAGAAACUUGGGAAAGCAGUACAUUAGUAGCAAGCUAUUUGAAAGACUGUUUGAAAUAUGGCCUGGGACACACUUUCUACCUGCACAGUGAGUAAAUGGAUGGGCUGAUUUCAGGUUCACAUGCAGACUUAACUGGAGAUUUUGUAUACAUUAUGCUCAUGUCCCCCAUACAGACUGAGCCAUAUGCAAAUCUCCUUCCCACCUUUUAUUCUGUGUCCUGAACCAACCUCAUAGUUCACAUCAGCUUCUGCUCCAAUAUCAAGAGAAAAAUGUGCUGAGUUCAGGUUAUUUACCUGCCCUUGACUUUUCCACAAAACUGAUGUGCAUUCAUCCUCCAGAGUGGCAGUCUGAUUCUCCAGUGCAUCUCAGGACCUCAAUGUACAAGACAAGAGUAAAACUGGCAUAAUGCUGAGAUAAUCUACAGCACACACAGUCCUAAAUUCACACCAUUAUGGGGCUCGUUCCUCCUCUGCUUUCCCUGUAGGAGGUAGGCUGGAAUCCUCUCAAAUAAUUGGUUUCCUAGUAGUUAUCACAGCCUAGAAAGCAAUGCAAACUGCAGCAAAUAGUGGUCUCACAAACUCCAUAAUCAAGGUGAACCUGACUCUGCCUUUUGCUCAUCUUCCGACUGGCAAGAAACUGACCUGUAAUACAUUUAUCCGUGUCAUCUGUGUCUCCAUUUUCCUGUGACAGAGGGAGGUUCUGGGAGCUAACACUGGAAGAACAUAUAGGAAAUCUCAAUGAAAUUUCCUGAGUAAUGAAAUGCAAUAAUAUUAUAUACAAGAUUAACAGAAUUCAACACCCUCCUUCUACGCAUGUGUUCUUGCCUCAAUCCUUCAUCAUUUUCAUUAAACAAUCACAGCAAACUGAAGAUACAAAUCACAUCACUGAAGGAGAAAUGGAUA